AGUUAACAAACGCUGAAAGAUGGCAAGUGAUAGGCAUGAAAAAUGCUGGCAUGUCAUGCAGGGCCAUUGCAAGACAAAUGGGUCGUCAUCACAGUGUUAUCACUCGUUUGAUUGUCAACCAUGGUCAAUCCAAUGAUGUCAGUGACAGGCAUAGGUCUGGUAGGCCAAGAAAGACCUCGAACAGAGAGGAUAGAUGUCUUUUCAGGAUAGUCAGACGAAAUCCAUUUGCCACUUCAACAGAUUUAAGACUGCAGUGGAUUACCCAUCAGAGACUCUCGGCGAUGACUGUAAGGCGUCGCCUCAGAGCGGCUGGUUAUAACGCCAGAAGACCAGUAAAACGUCCUCAACUGACCGAGAGGCACAUGUGGAAUCGUCUGCCGAAGUCAAUGGAACUUGGUCUGACAAGUGUCGAAUGCUGCUACGAACUGUUGAUGGUCGAAUACGUGUUUGAAGGCAACGUGUGGCAGGAUGUAUAUAUUUGGGAUUAUUUUAAAAGUAGUUUAGUAUAAACUUAUCCAAAACAUAGGUAUUUUAUUGUAUUUAUUAAAUAAAUUAGUUUACUUAGUCCACUAACUCACACCUCAGUAACAUAAUCUAACAUGUGGUGAUUGAUUCUUUGUGUUAAGGCUACUGCGGUCUCAGCCUAGCUUAUUGUUCUCUGCCGGUCAGCUUGGCCUGGCUUUGUAUUUCUCGCGUCACAUGACCACCUUGGUUAAUGUACUUCAUACCUUUACUAUGUGCACCAUUUCUAGUCACAACUCUCACUGGGAAAGGACAGUUCAGUUUGGGGUCACGUAAGAUACUGCAUGACCAGUUUUGAUGCCAUCUGGUGGUUUGGCCUCCGUCCCUUAGACGAGGGUUUCUUCAUCAUCAUCAUAACCACUGAUUGUGGACCAUCAUUGGAAUAAAUCCAGUUGUAAAAACAGCAUGCUUUUGUGUCUCCAUUACCCUGCAUAAGCCUCUGCGACAAACGUAACACUAGUUUUGCACCAAGGAACAUCCAGAAGACCUUAGCAUGUGGCGGGGGUCUGUCAUGAUAUGGGGUUGUGUUUCCUUCGG